rnacentral:rRNA from 1 species
AACGAACGCUGGCGGCGCGUUUUAAGCAUGCAAGUCGGACGGCAAGGUUGGUAGCAAUAUCGACCCUAGAGUGGCGAACGGGUGAGUAACACGUAGGUGAUCUGCCCUUGGAUGGGGGAUAGUCCGUGGAAACACGGGGUAAUACCGCAUGAGGCCUUGGGGGUGAAGCCCUGGGGUGAAAGGUGCAAUUGCACCGUCUGGGGAUGAGCCUGCGGUCCAUUAGGUAGUUGGUGAGGUAACGGCCCACCAAGCCGACGAUGGAUAGCCGGCCUGAGAGGGUGUACGGCCACACUGGAACUGAGACACGGUCCAGACUCCUACGGGAGGCAGCAGCUAAGAAUCUUCCGCAAUGGGGGCAACCCUGACGGAGCGACGCCGCGUGGAUGAUGGAGGCCGUAAGGUUGUAAAAUCCUUUUGUUGGCGAAGAAUAAGCCGGAGAGUGGAAUGCUCUGGUGAUGACGUUAGCCGACGAAUAAGCCCCGGCCAAUUACGUGCCAGCAGCCGCAGUAA